rnacentral:rRNA from 1 species
UACGUAGGGCGCAAGCGUUAUCCGGAAUUAUUGGGCGUAAAGAGCUCGUAGGCGGUUUGUCGCGUCUGCCGUGAAAGUCCGGGGCUCAACUCCGGAUCUGCGGUGGGUACGGGCAGACUAGAGUGAUGUAGGGGAGACUGGAAUUCCUGGUGUAGCGGUGAAAUGCGCAGAUAUCAGGAGGAACACCGAUGGCGAAGGCAGGUCUCUGGGCCACUACUGACGCUGAGAGGCGAAAGCAUGGGGAGCGAACAGG